rnacentral:rRNA from 1 species
UACGUAGGGGGCUAGCGUUGUCCGGAAUCAUUGGGCGUAAAGAGCGCGUAGGCGGCCAGAUAAGUCCGGUGUGAAAGUCACAGGCUCAACCUGUGAAUGCCGCUGGAAACUGUCUGGCUAGAGUCCGGUAGGGGCGAGUGGAAUUCCUGGUGUAGCGGUGGAAUGCGCAGAUAUCAGGAGGAACACCGAUGGCGAAGGCAGAUCUCUGGGCCGUAACUGACGCUGAGGAGCGAAAGCAUGGGGAGCGAACAGG